UUCUGUAUUGGGAUAAAUUGAAAUCGUGCAAGCUUCAACAGUAUUCAACAUGCAUUCAUCUGGUCCAUGCUGGCAAAAGAAGGCGCCGUCGGGCUGGAUCCAGGCGUUGCCCCAAGGGAUCAUCCGGAGAUUGACGGCGGAGAUUAGUCCAUUUUCAAAAAGCUUCACCAAAUGGUAAACCACGAAGUUCGCACAGAAAGGGCAGAGAGCUUCGUAAUACACUGACACGGUCACUUUUUCAGACGCCGACGGCGGCGGUGCCGACAACAGCAACACACCACACAGAGCCGUUACGGCGGCCGACCACCGGCCAAGGCGACUCAUUAUGUCUCAAGCAACCCAAUCCCGGAUCAUGCCGAACCGGACACGAUGCUGUG
rnacentral:misc_RNA from 1 species